AAUCAAUAUAAACUGAUUUCUAAAUUUAUAGAACUCUCCAUCGUUCAUUUGAUUCUAGCUUCUGACUUGGUAUCAGAGCAUCGAUGGCUAACACCGGAUCUAAUAAUAAUGCACAAUCAGCCCAGUCAACCUCAAGCACACUGAUGCCUUCAAUGCUGGAAGGAAAUCAGAUGCCACAGUUUAGGAAAAGUCUCACCCAAGUUCCUCCAGUGAAACUUGACAAGAACAAUUUUCUACUGUGGAAAAAUAUGGUUAUGCCCAUCAUCAAGGGUCAUAACCUUGAAGGUUUUACCAAAGGAACAAAAACUUGCGCAGCGAAAUUUCUAGCAAUACAAACUACUGAGUCUGCUGGUUUUACCGUUGAAAUGGCUCCAAAUGCUGAGUAUGGGAAGCGGAUGUCCACUGAUCAACUACUGAUGGGUUGGCUCUAUUCAUUAAUGACACCUAAAAUUGCUAUGAGAGUGAUGGGUUCUCAACUUCUUGCAACCUCUGGAAUGCUGUCCAGGAGAGUUUUGGAGUUAUGAACAAAUCAAGAGUGGCAUUCCUUAUCAGUGAGCUUCAAAGAACAAGGAAAGGUUCAAUGAGUAUCGAUCAAUAUCUCAACACGGUUAAGCAAUUAGCAGAUAAUCUCGAAAUAGCUGGAAAAAGCAUCCCUCAUACUGACCUUGUUACUCAAGUACUGGCUGGACUAAAUGAGGAAUAUACUCCUAUUGUGGUUCAAAUAAAAAGUAGAGAAACUAUUUCCUGGCAUGAGCUACAAUCUGUGCUCAUGACUUAUGAAAGCAGAAUUGAGCAUCUCAACACUGUCAAAAACAGCCUGGCCUCAAUUAAUUUGAGCCACACCUCAACAAAUUUUGUGCAGAGAUCAAUAGCAAACAGAGGAGGCAGGUUCAACUAUGGUGAAAAAAGUAAUUACAACAGAGGAGUAAGAAGUAGAGGCAGAGGAAAUAGGCAGACUGGAAGUAGGUCCUCGUCAAAUUUGUGGAAUGAGUAACCAUUCAGCAGAAAAAUGCUUCAAUCGCUAUGAUGAGAGGUACAUGGGAACAAAGCUUGUUCAACAAUACCAAGGAAAUUCCUCAGGACCAGCUGCACUUGUAGCUUCAUCAAGCACUAUCACAGAUCUAGCUUGGUUUGCUGAUUCAGGAGCAAGCAAUCAUGUAACUGCUGAAAGAGGAAAUCUAAUUGAGGCACAUGAGUAUGGUGGUAAGGAAAAACUCACUAUUGGUAAUGGAAACAAACUUCAUAUAUCUCAUAUUGGCACAAAUAAAUUGAGCACAUUGAAUGACAAAUCCUUAAUUCUUGGUAAUGUACUAUUGGUACCAUCAGUUAAGAAAAAUUUGUUAAGUAUCUCACAAUUAACAUCUGAUAAUGGUGUGUUUAUGGAAUUUCACUCUGAUUUUUGUGUUGUCAAGGACAAGCAAAUGAAGGAGGUGCUGUUGGAAGGGAAGCUUAAGGAUGGAUUGUAUCAAAUUGAGCAACCACAUCAAGUUAAAAGGUUUUCCUGUCAAGAGUCAGUUUAUCUAGGUCAAAAGUCAGUUUGUCCAAAUAAGUUGAAUCCCUCAACAUUUGUUGUCAAGUCCAAAGUGUCCAGAAAUACUAGAGAGUAUGAGUCUACACUUAAGCUAUGGCAUAUGAGACUUGGACACCCUACAAAUCCUG
rnacentral:lncRNA from 1 species